GACACAGGUGCUGCAUGGCGUGUCGUCAGCUCGUGUCGUGAGAUGGUUGGGUUAACGUCCCGUAACGAGCGCAACCCUUGUCCUUAGUUACCAGCACGUUAUGGUGGGCACUCUAAGGAGACUGCCGGUGACAAACCGGAGGAAGGUGGGGAUGACGUCAAGUCAUCAUGGCCCUUACGGCCUGGGCUACACACGUGCUACAAUGGUCGGUACAAAGGGUUGCCAAGCCGCGAGGUGGAGCUAAUCCCAUAAAACCGAUCGUAGUCCGGAUCGCAGUCUGCAACUCGACUGCGUGAAGUCGGAAUCGCUAGUAAUCGUGAAUCAGAAUGUCACGGUGAAUACGUUCCCGGGCCUU
rnacentral:rRNA from 1 species